rnacentral:tRNA from 1 species
GUCCAGGUGGCGGAAUUGGCAGACGCGCUAGCUUGAGGGGCUAGUGACCGAUAGGUUGUAAGGGUUCAAAUCCCUUCCUCGGCA